ensembl:lncRNA
UUAUAAGUCAACUUAGCUCCCCAUUGCCCAGAUGAUGGAAGGGACUCCCAUCCCUGGUGCCCAGUGGCUGCUUUUGCCAGGCUCUGUGGACACCUGGCCUGUGCAGAGCCUCGUUCAUCUGCUUUGUUACUUCUGCUGUUACCAGAAGAGAGAGAGAGUCCAGGGGAGAAGAUUUAUAAGCAGUUAGGGGAUAAAAAACAAAAGAAGAGGAAGAGAUCAGAAGCAAGAGGACAAACAUUAGGAAACUGGUGAAGAAGACAGGUGAGAAAAAGGAAAAAAUAAAAACAAGAACAGAACAACAACAAAACACUAGAAACCAAAGAAAAGAUCUAGAAAGGAAGAAAAAAAUCCCAAAAAGGUUCAAUUCAAGGUGUGUCUCUGCUGUCACUGUUAGACAGUGUGGGGAAACAGAGUCCAGAGGCAAAUAGAUUAAUCCCAGAAAGCUAGCUGCAGCUUCACAGUGGGGUAGUGGGUAAUCUCAGCCAGCCUGCCCCUUUAGUUCCACUGAAGUUCAGGCUGGUUUCUGGCUAUGAGGCUGGAACUGGAUUCCUUGAGCCUACAACAGUCUGUGUCUCCUGCCAGCUUGAACUCUGCUCCCUGACCUGCUGACUAGAAUUCGGCACCCACACUGAGGCACUGGGAGCCACUAGAUGUAUUCUGCCUGCAGCUGUUCUGAGUUCUGAGCUCAGUUGGCCCCUCUCCUGGGGGAGGUCUGAACCUGUAUAAUUCACCAGCCACUGCAGUCUGGUUCGUCCACUGCUCCCUUCCACUGGUGUGUUUCUUCAUGUAGGCCUAUGGGGUCGUCAGCAGUCACCAUGUGUCUCUAGGUUCAGCCUGCCAUUCCCUUGCCAAGAGUCGGGCUCUCAGAGAGAGUACUGCUUGCUACCUCCCUCCUCUUUGUCAAAGUCUAUCUCUUCACUCUGCCUGUAGACCAGUUCUUGCUUCAGAGCCUUCCUGAGUCCCAGGGACCCACUUCCCUCCUUCUCCUCUUGAUGCUGUAUUCCAGUGUCAGGACUCAAAUUUCCGAGAGGCUUUUUCUCUGCUCCUCACCACUCUGCCAUCUUCCCAAAUACACAUCAACAAGGGUGUGUGUGGAUGGGCCGAUGGGGCUGUGGCCCUGCGUUUGCCAGAGCAGUAGUUCACCAGGGAAUGGGUGACAAUUACAGAACAGAGAACCUGUCUGAAAACAAAAAAAAAUUUUUUAACUUAAAUAUAAAAAUAAUAUCGGUAACUUUUAGGAAAAAAAAAAAAAAAAAGGAAAAGCAGAAGAGAUACAAGCUUAAUGGGACAGGUUUAUUUCAGAACAAACCUGAGAAGAUUGGUCCUGGCACUGAGACCAAACCGGAGCUAUGAGGUCUUUUAUAGGGUCAUGGUUAUAAAAGGGGGGCUGUGGAAGAAAAGGUCAAAAUGGGGCUGUGCGGGAGUUCGGUGAGGGAGCAGUGGCUCUUCAAGAGAGAAGGCUUAAGAAAGACGGUGUAGGGGGCCAGGGAUUUAGCUCAGUGGUUUCACCGCGUGCCUUGCAAGCGCAAGGUCCCAAGUUUGAUCCCUGGUGCCAAAAAAAAAGAAGCAUGGUGUGGUGUGUCUGCCGCUGGAGAAGGUGAC